UGCCCGUUUCAAGUGGUGAGUUGUGCCAUGGAUUCUCUGCGAAGGCAGAGGCUUCUCGGUCCUUAGAUUGGAGGGCACCGCGUAGGGAAGAGUGUAGA